rnacentral:rRNA from 1 species
CGCUGGCGGCGUGCCUAAUACAUGCAAGUCGAACGGUCUUUCUAUGGAAGCUUGCUUCCACUGAGAAGAUAGUGGCGAACGGGUGAGUAACACGUGGGUAACCUGCCCAUAAGAGGGGGAUAACAUCCGGAAACGGGUGCUAAUACCGCAUAGUUUUUCUUGAUCGCAUGAUUGAGAAAGGAAAGACGGCCUUUGUGCUGUCGCUUAUGGAUGGACCCGCGGCGUAUUAGUUAGUUGGUGAGGUAACGGCUCACCAAGACGAUGAUACGUAGCCGACCUGAGAGGGUGAUCGGCCACAUUGGGACUGAGACACGGCCCAAACUCCUACGGGAGGCGGCAGUAGGGAAUCUUCCGCAAUGGACGAAAGUCUGACGGAGCAACGCCGCGUGAGUGAAGAAGGUUUUUCCGGAUCGUAAAACUCUGUUGUCAGAGAAGAACAAGUUGGAGAGUAACUGCUCCAGCCUUGACGGUAUCUGACCAGAAAGCCACGGCUAACUACGUGCCAGCAGCAGC